rnacentral:piRNA from 1 species
UUGUCCUGAAAUGACAUAAUUGCAUUCGC